ACCAGACUCCUACGGGAGGCAGCAGUGGGGAAUAUUGGGCAAUGGAGGCAACUCUGACCCAGCAACGCCGCGUGAGUGAUGAAGGUCUUCGGAUUGUAAAACUCUUUAAGUGGGGACGAAGAAAGUGACUGUACCCACAGAAUAAGCCUCGGCUAACUACGUGCCAGCAGCCGCGGUAAUACGUAGGGGGCAAGCGUUAUCCGGAUUCACUGGGUGUAAAGGGAGCGUAGACGGCGACGCAAGUCUGGAGUGAAAGCCCGGGGCCCAACCCCGGGACUGCUCUGGAAACUGCGUCGCUGGAGUACGGGAGGGGCAGGCGGAAUUCCUGGUGUAGCGGUGAAAUGCGUAGAUAUCAGGAGGAACACCGGCGGCGAAGGCGGCCUGCUGGACCGUGACUGACGUUGAGGCUCGAGAGCGUGGGGAGCAAACAGGAUUAGAUACCCCUGUAGC
rnacentral:rRNA from 1 species